AACGAACGCUGGCGGCAGGCUUAACACAUGCAAGUCGAGCGCCCCGCAAGGGGAGCGGCAGACGGGUGAGUAACGCGUGGGAAUCUACCGUGCCCUGCGGAAUAGCUCCGGGAAACUGGAAUUAAUACCGCAUACGCCCUACGGGGGAAAGAUUUAUCGGGGUAUGAUGAGCCCGCGUUGGAUUAGCUAGUUGGUGGGGUAAAGGCCUACCAAGGCGACGAUCCAUAGCUGGUCUGAGAGGAUGAUCAGCCACAUUGGGACUGAGACACGGCCCAAACUCCUACGGGAGGCAGCAGUGGGGAAUAUUGGACAAUGGGCGCAAGCCUGAUCCAGCCAUGCCGCGUGAGUGAUGAAGGCCCUAGGGUUGUAAAGCUCUUUCAACGGUGAAGAUAAUGACGGUAACCGUAGAAGAAGCCCCGGCUAACUUCGUGCCAGCCGCCGCAGUAAUAC
rnacentral:rRNA from 1 species